rnacentral:lncRNA from 1 species
GGAUUUUGCAAGGAUGCAUCAGCAUCUCUGGGAAGCCCCAAGACACAAGGAAUCCUUUCUGUUGCCCCCAGAGCUCCAGAGACUGCCAGUUCCCACAUCAUCCCUGGGCACAGAAGCUUUUCCAGAGGACUGCUGAAUCCUUGGGAACACACAGAUCCAAGCCUCAGUUCCCUGGAGCUCAGCCUUCCAAGCGUGGGAAGAGGAGGCUGUGGUGCUCCCAACCUUCAUCGUCCCAUCCUGGCCAGGAGCAGCCUCCACGUUCUCCACAGGGACUGGCACCAGGAAUGUCCUCUGGCAUGGCUGGAGGAUCACCUGGGAGCAAAUCAACCUGGAAACGCGGCAGAGGCACCUCCAGAGGGCAGCAGGUCCCCAGGUGAUGCUGACACCCCGAUGGUGUCCCCAGGGGCUGCAGGGGUCAGCUGUGGUCACCUGGCUGCUCGUCUCCAUGGGUCUCUGACUGGCACUGGCCUGGGUCAGUCUUCACUGAAUCACUGAAGGGUUUGGGUUGGAAGAGACCUCAAAGAUCACCUAGUCCCCUUGCCAUGUGCAGGCACACCUUCCACUAGAUCAGGAUCCUUCCUUGGGGUAUCUACUUCAUUUUCUCUAUGGGUUUCUCCCAGGUGAGUCAAACAUCAAAGAACUAACAAAGGAUGAUUGGGCCUGAAAUCCUAUCAAAAUAAUGGUGGGAAUUUGCAGCCCAUUUGUUUUUUUUUCAAAGGUAAAAUUAAAUCCAUUUGGUGAUUCCAUAACUAACUUUGUAAGUGUGGGUAUUACUGAAUUAUUUCUCCCUCAACUGAAAAAAUCCCCAAGACCUGAAGAACUAGAAAUCAUUUCCUAAUAAAAUCAAGACCCUUUCCA